rfam:Brassica napus, WGS project CCCW01000000 data, contig: 21367
AUCCCAGCUAAGUUAAUUAGUUACUUAUCUGAUUCAUGGAGGCCUAAACCAACGUUGCAAGUUUCGCCUUCAAUACCUUCUUUUUACUGUAGUCCCAGAAGGUGUUUUAUUAGUAACUUCGCUUACAUUU